UUAACAAACUCUGCAUAAGCUCCGGGGUGGCGAGCUCCUAUCACAGUAAGUUUUUCGCAUUGCGAUAAAUUCCCUUUUAAACAGCUAUGGCAAGUCCCACAGUAAAAGGUAGGGCA
rfam:Halobacillus mangrovi strain KTB 131, complete genome.